UGCAGUCGAACGGUGAAGAGGAGCUUGCUCUUCUGGAUCAGUGGCGAACGGGUGAGUAACACGUGAGUAACCUGCCCUUGACUCUGGGAUAAGCGUUGGAAACGACGUCUAAUACCGGAUACGACCCUCAACCGCAUGGUUAGGGGGUGGAAAGAUUUUUUGGUCAAGGAUGGACUCGCGGCCUAUCAGCUUGUUGGUGAGGUAAUGGCUCACCAAGGCGACGACGGGUAGCCGGCCUGAGAGGGUGACCGGCCACACUGGGACUGAGACACGGCCCAGACUCCUACGGGAGGCAGCAGUGGGGAAUAUUGCACAAUGGGCGCAAGCCUGAUGCAGCAACGCCGCGUGAGGGAUGACGGCCUUCGGGUUGUAAACCUCUUUUAGUAGGGAAGAAGCGAAAGUGACGGUACCUGCAGAAAAAGCACCGGCUAACUACGUGCCAGCAGCCGCGGUAAUACGUAGGGUGCAAGCGUUGUCCGGAAUUAUUGGGCGUAAAGAGCUCGUAGGCGGUUUGUCGCGUCUGCUGUGAAAACUGGAGGCUCAACCUCCAGCCUGCAGUGGGUACGGGCAGACUAGAGUGCGGUAGGGGAGAUUGGAAUUCCUGGUGUAGCGGUGGAAUGCGCAGAUAUCAGGAGGAACACCGAUGGCGAAGGCAGAUCUCUGGGCCGUAACUGACGCUGAGGAGCGAAAGCGUGGGGAGCGAACAGGAUUAGAUACCCUGGUAGUCCACGCCGUAAACGUUGGGAACUAGAUGUGGGGGCCAUUCCACGGUCUCCGUGUCGCAGCUAACGCAUUAAGUUCCCCGCCUGGGGAGUACGGCCGCAAGGCUAAAACUCAAAGGAAUUGACGGGGGCCCGCACAAGCGGCGGAGCAUGCGGAUUAAUUCGAUGCAACGCGAAGAACCUUACCAAGGCUUGACAUAUACGAGAACGGGCCA
rnacentral:rRNA from 1 species